rnacentral:lncRNA from 1 species
UUUGUAACAUCUAGUCAAUCCACAUAGAAAGCGGUAAGAUAUACCUGCCAUCAUAUGAUACAAAUUUAUGAGAAGAUCUAAACAAAACAAUAUAUUAAUUAAAAAAGAAGGAACCAACAAAUAAAAAGGGAAAAAUGCAUAAGUACCCCCAGCCUAUGCCCGAAAUCCCAGAGACACACUUAGACUAUACUAAGGUCCUAUUACCCCCGAACUUAUUUUAUAAAUAAUUUUCUACCCCUUUUCGACCUACGUGACACUAUCAACCAGAUAGCUUGAAAAAAUUGUCAACAUGCGCUGGGCCCAGAAGAUAGUGCCACGUAGGCCGAAAAGGGGUAGAAAAUUAUUUAUAAAAUAAGUUUGAGGGUGGGUAAUAGGACCUUAGUAUAGUAUAAGUGUCUCUAAGAUUUCAGGCACAGGUUAGGGGUACUUGUGCAUUUUCUCAAUAAAAAAUUAAGUGAGUAAAACAAGAGGAUGAAACACAAAAAAUAAGAGGACUAACAUUUUCUUGUUCAAUUUAUAAAAGGAUAAACCAAAAAUGAAUGGAAUGCUAAUAGAAGAAUGUAACAACAGAAGCUAAAAGGACCCACGAGUAAACCUCAUUAAGUAGUGGAAGAUGAUAAAUUCUAGCCUUUAACAAUGUAUUUGGUCAACAUAGCUGUCAUAUUUUUAUUUAAUUAAGAAACUUGAAGGGCAUUUUCGUAAUUCAAUUUUAGACUUAGGAUCUUCCCACUUUUAAUAUAAUAUGAUAUGAUGAUAUAUGAUUUAUCACACCACCUUUUUCUUAAUGGGGGACAAAGACAUAGGAUACUCAACCUUUAAAAAACUCAUAGGACACCCUUUAAAGUGAAACCUUUGUCAUUCACUUCCAUGAUAAUGAGGCAUUUGACUCCCAAGUCUUCUUCUUGGGUGGUCCACAAAAUGAGUACUUUAGUCUUGGGUUAUUUAAGCUACCACAUAGUCUACAAUGCUGAGGAAUCGAAUUCUUCAGUCACAAAGUAAAUUGCGGAAUAUAAAUAAUGUUAUAUGGCCAUAGUUUUUACUCCUUUUUUGGAAAGGUGCUUUGAAAUGUCGAAAAAUUUAUAUUCUACAAGUUUGGAAUGACAAUCUCUGAUGAAAAUGGGAAUUUAUCCAAGUGUUUAACUGAUAAAUAUUGCUUAUGACAAUUCGAUUCAGUUAUUUCAAAUCUGAACGAUCAUGUUUAUGCUAACGACUCAAUUGUGUAGGAUUGCAACCACCCAUCUCCACUAACUUCUCAAGAGCAACGUUUCAAAUUACAACUCCGCAAUCUAAGGAGUUGAAGUUUAGGAUACAGAGAGAUGAGAGAAAAUAAUAGCGAAGAAUGACAAAGGCUUGGGUGAAUAGCAAGGGUCUCAACGUGUACAUGACUCUUUAAAAUAUAUUUACAAUUAUAUCCUUGUAAUAAGAGACUAAACUCCACAGUUCACUCAAAUUGUUCAAACUCGCUUCUUGUUACAAACCUCACCCACACAAUUACUCUCUUCAAUUUAGGAAUUAUUACAAGUUUAAGCGUCUACUUGUGCACAUCAAAGUUGGAGGGUAUAAAUGUGAAAUGAUGCCAAGUUAAAGGGGACAUUUAUGUAUUAUGCCAAAUUUAUAUUAUCAUAAAAUGUCAAGACGUAUUGAGUUACUUAAGUUAAUAAUACCGUAUAGAAUUUUUUACAACAAAAAACAUAUAGGUUAAAGAUUAACCUGCCCCACAGUCUUACUUGAAACAAGAAACCAACUCUUAUCCAUAGGGUUGAGAUAGGCCUAAAUUCCAUUAGAAACACAUUUUCCCCCAACCAAACUAAAGCUAAGUAAAAGCACAAAUAGAUGAUUGGAAGAAAUGAACAAAGGGUUCAAAAAUUUAUUGGCCAAACACUAAUUGUUUCUUACCAAAAGUAUUCAUUCAUUCAUAUAUAUUAUUACUAGUUUCUGGACACGUGCACUGCACGUGUAUCACAUGUUAAUUGGUACACUCAAUUUAAAAUGAAAUACAUAAAGUUAGAAUAUGUGUAUCAUGAGUUACACGAAAUUAUAGAGAAUGUAUCACAUGUUAAUUGGUACACUCAAUUUAAAAUGAAAUACAUAAAGUUAGAAUACUGUGUAUCAUGAAUUACACGAAAUUAUAGAGAAUGUAUCACAUGUUAAUUGGUACACUCAAUUUAAAAUGAAAUACAUAAAGUUAGAAUAUGUGUACCAUGAGUUACACGAAAUUAUAGAGAAUGUAUCACAUGUUAAUUGGUACACUAUUUAAAAUGAAAUACAUAAAGUUAGAAUAUGUGUACCAUGAGUUACACGAAAUUAUAGAGAAAAAAUAAAGAAAAGAAUGCUUAGAGAUGUAUAAAGGAAAAAUUGAAGCAUCAAUUUGAUGCUAACAUCCUCAAAUGUAUAAAAUUUAAAUGCCAAGACAUGAAAACUGGAAAAGAAGAGAAUAUUUUUCUUCCAUACGUUCAUAGAAAAAGAAUAAAGAAUGAAAUUAAGUGAUAAAUAUUUGGUAUUUGCAUUUUGAUUUACAUGUAUGUCUACUGACAAAAUAAAAAUAGAUCAAUAAAGAUGUAAUUACAAAUUACAAUAAUUUUUCUGAGCAUAAAUAAACAUUAAUCUUAUGAGAUACAUGAAUGGGUGGAGUAAAAGGAAUAUCACCUUGGAUUUGUAGUAGUGAUUUUAGGUGUUCUGUCUUGCCAAACUGCUUAUAAUGAUAACACAACAGAUUUGAGCUUUUUGACUUUCUAUUCCAGCUGGAGUUUCCUUCUAAUUGUCCAUUCUUCAUUUUUUUUCCUCUUCUUUAGAAUCACUUCUGAUAUAUAAUCCAGAGGAUGUGGCACC